UGGCUCAGGACGAACGCUGGCGGCGUGCCUAAUACAUGCAAGUCGAGCGGACGGAUGGGAGCUUGCUCCCAUAAGUCAGCGGCGGACGGGUGAGUAACACGUGGGCAACCUGCCUGUAAGACUGGGAUAACUUCGGGAAACCGGAGCUAAUACCGGAUAAUGCUUUUGGACACAUGUCCUUAAGCUGAAAGAUGGUUUCGGCUAUCACUUACAGAUGGGCCCGCGGCGCAUUAGCUAGUUGGUGAGGUAACGGCUCACCAAGGCAACGAUGCGUAGCCGACCUGAGAGGGUGAUCGGCCACACUGGGACUGAGACACGGCCCAGACUCCUACGGGAGGCAGCAGUAGGGAAUCUUCCGCAAUGGACGAAAGUCUGACGGAGCAACGCCGCGUGAGUGAUGAAGGUUUUCGGAUCGUAAAACUCUGUUGUUAGGGAAGAACAAGUAUCGGAGUAACUGCCGGACCUUGACGGACCAACCAGAAGCACGCAC
rnacentral:rRNA from 1 species